rfam:Hordeum vulgare subsp. vulgare, WGS project CAJW01000000 data, contig: morex_contig_1564320
AGUCCAUGGUUAGGAUAACUCCUGAAUAAGGCUUUGUAUCUCUCCCCAGCUUCACACAAGCUCUCACCUUCAUGUUGAACGUAGUUCAAGAUCUCAUCUUGAAU